CAAGGGGACCAGGACCAGCGCCUCAAAAAGGUAAAGUGGGAAUGAAGAAAGCCAUGACAUGGGAUAACCACCGUCAGUGGCAGGUCUCCGGCCUCCCUACGCAGCAUGGUGACCCCCAGGCUUAUCAAGAUAUAAAAGUCCAUCCUGGAGGGCACAUUCGGCUCCGCAGGCUUCUCCCAGUCUCUCUACAGCUUAUGAGUGGUUGAACCAGAUUCAGAACUGCUCUCCAGAGGACUUUUGGAAAUUUGGGGAUGGAGAAGGAAAUUUGUUGUCAGAAUGAUUAAGGAAUGUCGUCAAUAUUUCACAACUAGGCCCAGAAGUUUUAACACCUUGCAACGUAUAGGACAUCCCUGCCUAAAGAAAAAAUGCUUUUCCCCAAAUGCCAGUAGAUACCUGUAUUAGUCAGGGUUCUCCAAGGAAACAGAACUAAUGGGAAAUUCAUAUUCGUAAAUGGAGAUUUAUUAUGAGGC